ACCACCACAACAAAAUGGUCUCCUUUUCUCAUUUGGGUCUCCUGGGAUCCUGUCAUCUGUGCUCCCACACGCUGUACCUCAGGAAAAGAUAGGAAAGGCAAGGAGACGAAAGCUCAGCAAAUCCUCAGUUUCCCCAGAUCACAUAUUCAAGGUCUGUCUGAAUCUAUGACGUGUGCCUGCCACACUUGGUCCUAAGAAGGUCAUAGCAAGAACAGCAAGCGAAGUUAACAGCCACAGCCAUGGAGUUCCAGAUGGUUUUAGCACCACCUGUCAGCCAUUUGCUCUUGGGUUCUUCAGCUACACCACUUCCCCUCUCUCCAUGCCUAGACAGGUUAUGCUCACUUUCUACUUUAACUCUUCUUUCAAAGCCAAGCAAUAUCAAAAUAAUCAUGUAAUUCCAUAGGAAGUGCUCCUCUGCAGGAGGAAAGUGUAGCUGAGACAGUUAAUUUUCCGGACAACACAAGAGUUCUCUUUCAAAUCACUGAAGUCAGAGGCAUCUGAUAAAUGGAGUGUGCCAUUUUUCUGAAGCGAGAGACAACCCUGGGGCUGAUUUUCUGUGUGUGUAACAAUGGUGUCUAGAGGCAGAGCUGAGCCUCCGCACAGGAGUCUGCACAUCUUUGCAUCUGAGACAGUUGGUGCAAGUCAGAACAAUUCACUGGAAUUCCCCAAGGAAUUAAAUCCUCCAGGAUCUUUAAA
rnacentral:lncRNA from 1 species